rnacentral:rRNA from 1 species
UACGGAGGGGGGCUAGCGUUGUUCGGAAUUACUGGGCGUAAAGCGCACGUAGGCGGUUCGUUAUGUCGGAUGUGAAAGCCCUUGGCUUAACCGAGGAAGUGCAUCCGAAACUGGCGAGCUAGAGUACGAAAAGAGGAUCGCGGAAUUCCCGGUGUAGAGGUGAAAUUCGUAGAUAUCGGGAGGAACACCGGUGGCGAAGGCGGCGAUCUGGGUCGAUACUGACGCUGAGGUGCGAAAGCGUGGGGAGCAAACAGG